AAGGCAUGCCCCGAGAGCCAGCAGUAGCAGCAAGCUCAUCAUGAGGCAAAGACACAUUACUGGGGCUGUGGACUAGCCAAGAAGAUGUACUUGUUGCUGUAAAACAACAAAUUUGCACAGGAAGUCCUGAGUGAUGUCUUUCCUGUAAGUGAUGCAUGUCACCAUGUACUACCAACGCUGCAUAGUUCAGUUUUCCAUGGAACACUUACAAGGUGAAGUGCCCAUCUUUGAAGUAACAGCAGCAGGAUCCAUCCUGAUUUGGCUGAAGAGGAAAUUCAAACAUUCAUUUCUGCUGUUAUAAAUCAGUGACUCAGCAGGAGUUCAUUUUUUUCCAACAUUCAUGAAAAAAAAAAUACAACUCUCAUUCUGCCCUCCUUCAUAAAAAUCAAAAUGCAUCUCCUCACAGAGGAAAUUAGUUCCACUGAUUUUGCUUUUUCCCAGCGAAACUCAGAGCUUUACAUUUCCCUAUUCUAAAAGUGGAGGAAGUCUGCAUUCAAAAAUUCCCACGUUGUAUGCAGGAGGAGGAAUCUCCAGAACAGUUCAGAGUGUAAUUCCCUGAAGUAGGUGUAUGUUUUGGAUGUGAGAGGAAACACAUCAACAAUACAGACUGAAACCAAAGUGACAGCAGUGAGUGGCCCUAUUCUAUAAAGUCUUCAGGAGAGUAUUCAAGAUGCACUUGAGAACCGAUAGAGCACACAUGGCCAAAGGAGUUUUGGUUUAUAACAGACGACACAGGCUGCAAGUUCACUAUUCAAGUCCCUCUGACAUUACUGGGACUUCACCAGGAGAAUUAGCCAUUGCUGACAUCACGUAUUUUCCAGCGACGGAAGCCACAACACUUGUGGAAAAAAGUGUGUGACUAAACAAGACAUCACAGAAGAAGAGAAAGCAGUGUUGCUACUGUGCAGUAUAUAAUCCCAAAAAAUUGUUCUAGCGUGCUUUGAAGCAUUACAGAGCUGAAGGUAGAAGAGUUGAUUAAUCUUGAUAAACACCUAAUAUUUGUAAAGCAUGGAAGAGAAAUUCAUCACUCUGAGAGAGAGCAAUUUACAAGACUAACAGAAUAAAAGUAUUUCAUUCAAGUAGACAUGCUGAGAGUAACAAUGGAUUAGGAGAGUGGGUCUCAGGUCUGCAGAAAAGAUACAUCAAACACAGAAGUUGAUGUGGGGGACUAACAGAUGAAAGAAUGGGCAGAUGAGACCUAAAUAUUGCAUACUUACUAUUUAAAAAAUCCAGAAACCCCAAUAAUAAAAUAAUCAACAAGGAACAAAAUAGUUGUCUGAAGUGAAAUAGUCUGUCCACAAAUCAUGACAGCUCCCUUUGAACUAACUUGAUUUACAACACGAAGUUAACAACAACAAAGAUCCGGAAAGCAAAACAAUCAUACAGCUAGAAAAUAAAC
rnacentral:lncRNA from 1 species